UCUCUUGUCGACUCGGGGGCUGGUACUGCAGAACGUGUAGGUGCAUGAGUGGUGUUUUGCUUGUGUUGGUUGGUUGGAUCCUUGCUCUGGCAACGACGUCCAUCCUCGCAUGCAUCUUCAGUCGGGUCUCGUGAUACCUGUUAUCNCGAGCUAUGAAUCGGUUUCCUGUGUUGCGUACCUCUAAAGAUGGCAAUCGGUAGUCCCAACGUCCCACUUCGCCUUGCGUUGUCCCUUUCCGGGGCGACGCGGGGUGAACCAUGAAGCAAUCUCUGCGUCCCACUCCACCCACAUUA
rnacentral:misc_RNA from 1 species